UUGAACGCUGGCGGCAUGCUUUACACAUGCAAGUCGAACGGCAGCGGGGGCUUCGGCCUGCCGGCGAGUGGCGAACGGGUGAGUAAUGCAUCGGAACGUACCCAGUCGUGGGGGAUAACUACGCGAAAGCGUGGCUAAUACCGCAUACGCCCUGAGGGGGAAAGCGGGGGACCUUCGGGCCUCGCGCGAUUGGAGCGGCUGAUGUCGGAUUAGCUAGUUGGCGGGGUAAGAGCCCACCAAGGCUACGAUCCGUAGCUGGUUUGAGAGAACGACCAGCCACACUGGGACUGAGACACGGCCCAGACUCCUACGGGAGGCAGCAGUGGGGAAUUUUGGACAAUGGGGGCAACCCUGAUCCAGCCAUGCCGCGUGAGUGAAGAAGGCCUUCGGGUUGUAAAGCUCUUUCGGCCGGAACGAAAUCGUCAAGGCUAAUAUCCUUGAUGGAUGACGGUACCGGAAGAAGAAGCACCGGCUAACUACGU
rnacentral:rRNA from 1 species